rnacentral:lncRNA from 1 species
UGUCAAGUGGAAGUGUGAAGCACCACAAACUGCUCUGAGCAGAGCCCACUUCCCUUCACCCACAGAGAGCGUGAAGCAGUUACACCAACAUCAAUCAAGGAAAACCCACAGGCUGAGCUCACACGGUUGAAGCAGGAAGUUGAAGAUUUGUCCAGGAGCAGAUAGCUGAAGAGAGAGAGAGAGAAGAGAGAAUGGCUUACAGCUCAGGUCCUCUCUCCAUGCUUAGGAACCACUACAAAUGCUACUGCCUUGAGUCUCAUUUUGUUUCCCUCUGGAAACCACAUGUGUACCUUGUUUGCAGCAGUAUGGUUAGAAAACUUUAAUAUGAGAUUGAAGAUAUGAUUUGCUUUCUGGAUUGUUGUAUGCUACUAAAACCGAAGAAAGAGAAGGAAAAAUGGAUGAAUCGACGGACCAUAUCACCCUGGCACCUAUAUCAGCUCAAAAACUGAAGGAAAUACCCCUUUCCUGCCCUCUCUUUGACUAAUGCUAUAGACUCUGAGUCAGUAGUUCCUGGUGGGACCCGAGAGUCCACAUUCCUGAUGAGCUCCAGGUGUUCCCAUGCUGCUGCCCCUCUGACCACACUUAGAAUAAGAAGGCUUGAAAUGAAAUCUGAGAAAUCAGCCUCUUGAUUCCAAUUUUAAACAUGCAAUUGAUUCUUGUAAUUUUUCAUUCUUGUCAAAAUGCAUACCAGUAAGUUUGUAAUCAGUAUUGGCAUGCUUAAAAGAAUUUAAGACUUGCUAUAUUUGUCAUUUUAAUUUAUUUAAACCUUAAAGAUUUGUUCAGAACUUGGAAAGAUUUUGCUUGUUAAGCUCAUAAAUUUACCCACUCAGGCAUAUGAGAUAGGGUACUUUGAUUUAUAAAUGAAGUUUAAAAUUAAGGGAAUUUUAAUUAAGUUUUCAAAAUGAGAUUGGUUGUUUUAAGGGGAAUUUACUUGGUGUAACUUGAGUUGAUCAAACGCUAAUCCAAGUUCCCUGCAAAACCUGUUCUGUUUUAUAUAACAUUUACUCGUUUUAGAAAUAGAUGAGAUUUGCAAAUUGAACCUAAAGACUUAAGGCAAAUUAUGUAUCUUUUUAUACUUUAAUAAAGAAAAAUAAAAUAAAUUUGAAACACAAAUAACUCUAACUGGCCCUUUUUAUGUAAAAAGAAGUCCUUGAAUAAAAUUUACCUUGACAGCACUA